rnacentral:lncRNA from 1 species
CUUCAGAACAGAUGAACAAUCAAACCCUCUUCAUAGGGAACUCUGGAAACUGUAACUCUGGGAAGGGAACAGGAGUCUCUCAACACCUUGAACCAACCGCAGCCCCUCCAAAUUCCCUGCCACAUCCCAAUGGCAACUAUGUGUCAUGUCCAGUUUCCCCUCUAUAAUAUCAGACCCUCCAAGUGCCCCUAUUUAGAGAAACUGUCCCAUUUUCUGAUUUGAUCCUGGAAAGUCCCACUUCUCCUUAAAAGGUAAAGGGACCCCUGACCAUUAGGUCCAGUUGCGAAUGACUCUGGGGUUGCAGCGCUCAUCUUGCUUUAUUGACCAAGGGAGCCGGCUUACAGCUUCUGGGUCAUGUGGCCAGCAUGACUAAGCCACUUCUGGCGAACCAGAGCAGCACACGGAAACGCCGUUUACCUUCCCGCUGGAGUGGUACCUAUUUAUCUACUUGCACUUUGAUGUGCUUUUGAACUGCUAGGUUGGCAGGAGCAGGGACUGAGCAACAGGAGCUCACCCUGUCGCAGGGAUUCGAACCACCAACCUUCUGAUCAGCAAGUCCUAGGCUCUGUGGUUUAGACCACAGUGCAACCUGCCUCUUUUCCUUAGGGUGUCCCUAUUUCCCUUGGAGAAAUGUUGGAGGGUUUGGUGGGAUGUCCCUAUUUUUUACUGGAGAAAUGUUGGAGGGUAUGGCAUUAUCUGACCCCCGAGCUGUCUGAAGGCAAUCCUUUAUAAGGAAGGGUUUUUCUUUUAAAAAAAUGUUUAAUAUUUAAUGAUGUUUUUAUAUAUGUUAGAAGUUGCCCAGAGAGGCUGAGACAACUCAGUAAGAUGUGUGAGGUAUAAAUAGUAAAAUUAUCAUUAUGGACUGGGACAUCCCUAUUUUUAUUGGACAAAUGUUGGAAGGUAUGUCAUAUCUAUUGUGACUUCCCUGCUCCUUGAUGUUCCGCACUUCCAUACUAUCCACCAUCAGAAGUCAAUAGCUUGGAAAGGAUGCCCUGAUGUCAGGACACCUGACUGGAAGGAGAUGGAGAUAUUAGACACACACAACUGCUGUUUUCAAUGAAAGCACACUUCUAAUAAAACCCAGGUAUUCUAAAUCUAGAUACACUUUAGGUAAAUGAGUGGGAUCGCAGGGGCAAGCAUUCAUCUAUGCCCUCCAUGCAUUCAUCAUGCCUCAUGUGCAGAGAGUAUGCUCUUCUAUCUUUGGCGAUCACUCGUAGCCGAGUAAGAUUGUCUUCCAUAAACAUGGUUUUAACAAUGAGUCCGUAAGUGACUGUGGACUGGAUCCACACGUCCUUCCACAGAGGGGACAUUGGUUUCGGGCGGGAGUUGAUCACGGUGUGGAUUUGCCAAGCGUGUCUUCCUCUUAGCAUGUUUCUCCCUUGCGUCCUGAGUUUGAGUGUCUUCAAAGCGCAUGACGCCUUUGGUAAAGGUGUUCUCCAGUUGGAGUGCCCACGGGCAAGUGUUUCCCAAUUGUUGGUGUUUAUACUGCAUUUUUAAGAUUUGCCUUGAGAGUGUCUUUAAACCUCUUUUGUUGACCACCAGCAUGACGCUUUCAAUUUUUAAGUUUGGAGUAGAGUAGUUGCUUUGGAAGACGAUAAUCAGGCAUCUGCACAACAUGAUCAGUCCAGCGAAGUUGAUGUUGAAGAAUCAUUGCUUCAACACUGGUGAUCUUUGCUUCUUCCAGUACACUGGUCUUAGUUCGCCUGUCUUCCCAAGUGAUGUGUAAAAAUUUUCGGAGACACCGUCGAUGAAAUCUUUCAAGGAGUUGGAGAUGGCUUUUAUAAGUGGUCCAUGUUUCACAAGCAUACAGUAAGAUUGGUAGUACAAUAGCUUUGUAAACAAGCAUUUUGGUUUCCCUGCGAAUGUCCUGGUCCUCAAACACUGCACUUCUAUCAGAAGAAAGCCGCACUCGCAGAGCUCAGGCGAACUCACAUACAUACAGGGUUUUCAUGUGCUCCCUUCCUUGACCACACAGACAGGAGCCACCUGUGUCCCAAUAUGUGCAAGCUUCAUGCACAAGGGGAUGCUGAAUGCUCAUGAGGUCUCAUUUAUUUAUAUUUAUUGCAUUUAUAGCUCACCUUUUUCUCCAAGGAGCUCAAGGUAGUGUACUUAGUUGUUCUCCUCCUCAAUUAACCCCCACAACAACCCUGUGAGAGCCAGUGUGGUGUAGUGGUGAAGAGUGGUAGACUCGUAAUCUGGUGAACCGGGUUCGCGUCUCCGCUCCUCCACAUGCAGCUGCUGAGUGACCUUGGGCUAGUCACACUUCUCUGAAGUCUCUCAGCCUCACUCACCUCACAGAGUGUUUGUUGUGGGGGAGGAAGGGAAAGGAGAAUGUUAGCCGCUUUGAGACUCAGUGAGCUUGACCACUCACAGUCGAGUGGAGAUUUGAACCCUGGUUUCCCAGAUCCUUGUCCAGCACCCUAACCACUACACCACACUGGGUCUCUUUGGGGGUGGGUUGGGGCUGUGAUUCUACUUGCCCCUCUGGGUAUUGAGAUUGCUAGCACAGGGUUCUAGUAAAUAAGCCCCACAAUUUCAGCUACGUGCCUGUCUGUUUUUCCCCGCAAGGCAGAAGUAUACCUUUGUAGUUUUGAAAUGAAACACUUUAAAGGCUGCUCACCCAUCCUUCUUGAAUAUCCAUAACAAUCUGAUACAGACGCCCAAAGAGGACAACUGACACCAUAUAAAGCUAUUGCAGGAGACUGGCAUGGUGGCAGUCUAAUCAGCUGAGCAGGGAUGUAGCCAGUAUACUAAAUGCUUAUGGAACGCAGGUAAUUGAAUACCUUUGGACCCUUUGGCUUAAGAGGAAAUUAAGUCACACUUCUGGUUUGGAGCCACUCAGACUAUGCCAUACAAUUUUAAAGCACCCAGCACAAUAGUUCUCAAUGACUUUCCUUAGAAACCACCCUAGGUCCUAGCUGUAACAUUCUGUAACAAAAUUAAUACAGCAGUUGAGAGGAUCAGGGGCUUACAAUUACAUUGAGAACCAUUAAUCUUCUUGUUAACUUAUUUAAGGGAUAUACCAUUUAACUAUCAUGAAUUAAUUUCAUACAUGGGUUACUGCUGCAUGAGUGUGCUAUGCAAAAAAGAAAGAAAGAAAAAAGAGAGAAUAUUGUUCAUCCCAUUAUGCAAUUGUGUCAAAAUUGACAAGUUAUACCAGAGUGAGAGGAGCGAGGCAAAGAUAUAACAAUUUUGUUCAGAUUGGACUUCCUUUGUUAAUUACUGGCAGUUUCACAGUUCUACAGUUGUGAGACUCAAAGUUUAAUUUACUGUAAAAAUAUUGCUAUAGAUGCAUGUUUAUCUUGUACAAUUUGUGUAUUUUGUUUCUUUUUAUAUUGAAAAAGUUGUCCAUGUUAGUAUGUUGCUGUUGUUUAUAAAAAAGGAACAAUCCUAGGUCCCAGGACUUAAAUCAGAAUAUUAGCCCAGCUCCUUUCCCUUUAGACCUGUAGCUCAGUUCUGGGCACCACAGUUUAAGAAGGAUAUUGACAAGCAGGAAUGUGUGCCGAGGAGGGCAACCAAGAUGAUAAAGGGCUUGGAAACGAAGCCUGAUGAGGAGCGGUUGAGGGAGGUGGGUAUGUUUAACCUGGAGAAGAGAAGAUUGAGAGAUGAGACGAUAGUCAUCUUCAAAUAUCUGAAGGGCUGUCACAUGGAGCAAGCUUGUUUCCUGCUGCUCCAGAGGGUAUAAAUAACGAGAGAGGAGAUUCUGAAUAAAAAUUAGGAAGAUCACCAGAAACAUUUCUGAUUGCAUGGACCAUGUCCCUGGUAAAUUGCUGCCCCUAUUUGUGCCCCAGUGUUUGACUUUAGGGGAUGCUUUGUUAAAACUCUGCUCAUGGGAGAUGCUGGAUUUGCCACUUUUCAAAUUUCAUCGCAUGUGUGUUAGUGCACAAGCAGGAACGAGAAGUAAUAUGCAGACUUACCAUUUCACAUGGUGGCAAGCAGGGGUGUCAACUUGAACAAAAUAUUGGGGGGGGGCAGGUAAGCCCCCCCCCGCACAAUCAGUCACAUGACAUGGUGCACCUACACCAUUAGAAUGGCAUGCCCAUUAACUUGGGCAGGGGUGGCCCUCUCAGAUAUUUUAUUGGGGGAGCUGAAGUCUCCUUGGCUUCUAGAAGUUGGCUCCUAUGUUGGCAAGAGUACACCUUGUACUGUUAAUAACAGUGAGCAGGCCAAUAAUGUUUUCUUAGACUAUAUUAAAUCUAAAGUACAAAUACCUUCUUGGUUUUAAAACAGGUAAAUGAAAUACCAUAACUUGCAACAACGUGUAACAGGGCAGAGGUGUGUGUAUUUGUGUCUGUGGGCCAGACAGUGGUUCUUGGAGUGAACAUAGAGAUGUUACAAGCAGGUCCUUGUUUUCAUUUGGGAAAAGUUGGAAGAUAUGCAAUAUUCUGCCUCUCUGCCCUGAAGCACCUCUUUCACAACAGAGAGUGAAAAGGGAAAGGAGAAUAGUUACGGUAACCAUUCCACAGAUCAAUCUUUGGGGGUUUCUUAUGGAAACUCUUUCCACCAAGCACAUUUCACCCUACUUGAGUAUGCUUCACAUAAGGCUCUUAUAGCACUUUAAUUACACUUGUUCCUUAGGGUUCCUUCUCCCUCUCUCCAUGACAAACAGAAGUGAUGUUUAACUUAUAGUAAGGACAUGGAGUGUGUGGAUCUGGUUCCCUCAGCCUAUUAUACACAUCCAGUGCUCUACCCAAAUCUUCUUCUGGCUCUGCCCAUCACUUGCCUGUGGCCUGCAAAAAGUUCCCUGCAUGGCAGUGUGGCCCUAGAGCUGAAAAAAACUUCCCACUCCCACCCAACACACUUUGUGACCCUAUGCUGAAUGCCUGAACCAGACAGAGGACCUUCUCAGUAGUGGCACCCACCCUGUGGAAUGCCCUCCCACCAGAUGUCAAGGAGAUAAAUAACUACACAACUUUUAGAAGACAUCUGAAGGCAGCCCCAUAUAUGGAAGCUUUUAAUGUUUGAUAUUUUAUUUAUGGUUUUUUUUAUCUGUGGGAAGCUGCCCAGAGUGGCUGGGGCAACCCAUUCUGAUGGGCAUGGUAAUCAUCAUCAUCGUCGUCCUCCUGGGGAGGCUCACUUGGCACCUUCUUUGUUACAUAUCUUUAGGUGUCAGGCAAAAACAUUCCUCUUCUUCCCGGCUAAUUAAACAAUCAAUGGCCUUUUAAACUAUGUGGGUGGUGCUGUGGGUUAAACCACAGAGCCUAGGACUUGCUGAUCAGAAGGUCGGCGGUUCGAAUCCCAGCGACGGGGUGAGCUCCCAUUGCUCGGUCCCUGCUCCUGCCAACCUAGCAGUUCGAAAGCACGUCAAAGUGCAAGUAGAUAAAUAGGUACCGCUCCGGCGGGAAGGUAAAACGCGGUUCCGUGCGCUGCUCUGGUUCACCAGAAGCGGCUUAGUCAUGCUGGCCACAUGACCCGGAAGCUGUACGCUGGCUCCCUCGGCCAAUAAAACGAGAUGAGUGCCGCAACCCCAGAGUCGGUCACGACUAGACCUAAUGGUCAGGGGUCCCUUUACCCUUUACCUUUAUAACAUUAUUGCUUUUGUUUGUCAUUAUGGUAUGCAUUUUUUUGUUUUUAUAUUGUAAACUGCCCUGUGAUCUUCGGAUGAAAGGUGAUAAAGAAAUUUAAAAAAUAAUAAUGAUGAACAGGGCGAUUCUCUAGUUCCGAUCUUAGACGAUACUUUUGAAUACAUGAGUGUACAGUUUUUUCCUGAGCUGUCCUUUUCUCCUUGAGAAUUACAUUAUUAGGCAUAGUUAUUUAAUAGAGUCGCAUCAAAAUGCCUUUGAGCUAGACAAGGUGACUGACCACAUAUAUUUGUGCCGCUAGGGGACAUCUAGAAGUGUGCUUAGGCCAGUUUGCUGGAUUGCAAACUUUAUAAAGAUAUUUUGAUGGAUGGAUGGAAGCUGAAACUAAGGCGAGAUUUCGGGGCUCUGAAGUUUACUUUUGUACCUUUGUUUUUCUGUCAAUCAACACGUACUUUACGGGACAGUAGAGAGUGGGUAGCAUCAUCCAGACAAGUGAAAACAUUUUAAAAUCCAGCUACUUUCAGUGGGAGAGUUAAAGCAGGGGUAGGCAACCUAAGGCCCGGGGGCCGGAUGCUGCCCAAUCACCUUCUCAAUCCGGCCCACAGACGGUCCAGGAAUCAGUGUGUUUUUACAUGAGUAGAAUGUAUCCUUUUAUUUAAAAUGCAUCUCUGGGUUAUUUGUGGGGCCUGCCUGGUGUUUUUACAUGAGCAGAAUGUGUGCUUUUAUUUAAAAUGCAUCUCUGGGUUAUUUGUGGGGCAUAGGAAUUCGUUCAUUCCCCCCCCCAAAAAAAAUAUAGUCCGACCCACCACAUAGUCUGAGGGACGGUGGACCGGCCCACAGCUGAAAAAGGUUGCUGACCCCUGAGUUAAAGUAUAUGCUCAGUCUUCCUGCUGAAAUCAAAGGAACUUAAAUGUGCUCAACUCAGCUCAUGUUCAGCCUUUUGGACUAAGGGCACAGCUUGAACAGAUGGUGGAAGACCUGUGAUGCAAGAGUAGAUCUAAGCAAAAAUACAUAGAAUCACAAAAUUGUAGAGUUGUGAGGGACCCUUAGGACCAUCUAGUCCAGCCUCCUGCAGUACAGGAAUAUGCAGCUAUCCCAUUCGGGGAUCGAACCUGCAACCUUGGCAACUAUCAGCAUUACACUCUAACCAACUACUGGCUGCAGUUGUCAACAGAACGCUAUGAGUGAUGCAUGAGGAGAAGAGAGGAUGAUGGUGGAAGCCCUGCAUGGUGCAGUUGUUAAAGUGUUGGAUUAGGACCUGGGAGACACGAAUUCAAAUCCCCACACAGCCUAUGAAGCUCAGUGAGUGAGCUUUGUCCAAGUGUUAGCUCUCACCCCACACUGUUAUUGAGAUGAGAAGGUGAAGCUGUAGGUGGUUCCUUGAGCUCAUUUGAGGAGAGGCAGGAUAUAAUAAGGAUACAGUUUGUCUGUGUACCCCCCCUUUUUUAAAGGACCAGUUUUAAAUAUUUUUUUCUUUUUCUUUUAAAAUAAUAGGGCGAUAUCUGAUCUAUUAUACUCAGAGGACACUUAUGGAACUUGAUGGACCUGAAUUGCAUAAAUCCUUUUAUUUCAAUAGGUGAGUAUGAGUAACAUUGGAUCACACCCAUGGUUAAUUCUAUUUUAUAUAUAUAUAUAUAUAUAUAUAUAUAUAUAUAUAUAUAUAAUAUGGAUGUCAGUGACCAUUUCAAAACACUCCAAAUUUCUAAAGCACUCCCCCUCAAAAAGUGUUCACUUUUUCCAAAAUGAAGUGGAAAGUUUUCUAAACUAUGUUAGGAGCAAAUAAGCUAAAUUUGGUAGUUUCAGCCAUUUCUGGGGGCAGGGGUUGGGCUUGGGGAACUAGGCUGUUAAUAGAAGGUAUGCCCACCCUAUAUGGAAUCUGUGGCUGAAUUCCUUGUCACAACAUACAGUAAACUGUGAAAGAGAGAGAUAUAUUCAUUCUGUCUCUUGAAUUCCUGACAAACAAAGCCAUCUGGUUGCCUUAAUCAAGGCAGCAUAUUAUGGGCAGGUCCUCUGACUAAGUAUUAAACAUACUGUACAGUGGCAUUAUUUAUGACUUGGACCACUACUAUAUCACUCUAUUAUCCAUACUUAUAGAAAAAGACCCACUGUAAGUAUAAUUAGUUAAUAAAUCACCAUGAGUGAUAAACAGAAUGAUGGAUGCAGGUUUCAGCUGAUCACUUUUUUAUUAAGGAGAGAUAAAUCAGCAUCAUAUUGUUGCCGUAAACCUCUCAAAUUGGUCAAAAAUCCGGCGUGCCAAAAUGCAGCAAGGGAGGGUGAUUAACGUGUCAAUUGUGCAGCAACAAAUUGUUCCCGAUAAUUGAUAUCAAUCAAUCCUUUUAAUUUCGCCACAGUCUAAUGGGUGUCAUACGUCAUGCCUCUCUUCCUUCGCCUGCAAGCCGGCGCCUUUUGUUUCGGUCUUCCUUGGAACCGUCAGAAAGUGCUCUUUCCGCACAGCCCAAAUUAGUCCUAUGUUUGAUUAGCACAAGGCGAGCCAGGAAGCUGGUUCUUGCUACAUGUAAUGCUGGGGUAAAAUGGUGAUUGGUUGUCUAGGGAAGUCCUCUCCAUUUUGUGGUGUUUCUGCUGCAGCUUCUGGGUUCUGCAUGACUUUUUGUGUGUUCACUGUGAGUUCAAAGGUCUGCUCCCUGAUAUAUUUGCAAUGAGUUCGCCUUGUGUUUUCCCACAAUGUAUAGUUAUGGUUACAUUUUUAUGUAACAGGAGACUUGCCCUUACAGGACAGUGGGACUGUUUCCCUCGGGAGGUGAUGGACUCUCCUUCCUUGGAGCAGAGGUUGGAUGGCCAUCUGUCAUGGAUGCUUGAAUUGAGAUUCCUGCAUCACAGGACAUUGGACCAGAUUGACCCUCAGGGUCCCUUCCAACUCUACAAUUCUAUGACCCGUCCCUGUUAGAAUUCCUGCUCCAUGAUUGCAGUCAUGGGAUUUUUGUCUUUCACAUGAAGGUAUAUGUUUUGACCCCACAGAGUGGGAAGUGGCGGAGACAGGAUGUUUGUGUUACUGUGUUCCAUGAAGUGGGACUAUUGUCUUUUGUUCUUUUUCUCUUUGCUGCCUGAUGCUGGAGAGAGAAGGAGCCAUGUUGCAGUGCUCCAUGUAUGUUUAUAUGUAAAUAAAGUAGAUUAGCCAAAAUGCUGAGCCGCUGAGGUCUGUCACGCGCAUGAUGCGUAAACUCUGCAGAUCCCCAAGUGUGCUGGUGUCGGUUGGCACCGGUUGCUGUGAUGUUUGGGCAGAAGAAAGCUUUUGAAGCUCCCGAACGAUCGACCAAGAGGGAGGGAACAUGCCAGUCGGGCAUGUGUCUCUGCCAGGGUCCUACUCGAGUGUAGGCUCAACUCCUGACAGUCCCACCCACCUUCAGUCAAGAAAAAGAGCCAAAUAAUUCUCAAGCAUAGGCAUGGAAAUCAAGUGACACACUCCCAUUCCAAGGAUAGGGAAUACCCCCAUUGCCUCAGCAUAAUGCAAUUAGUGCAGGAACUUGAUUGAGCUUCCAGCAGUAUCGGUUGGGGGCCAAUGGAACUGGUACAGCUGCAGGCAGAGGACCCAAAGUUGGCACCAGAGCCAAUGACAAGCACAGAGUUUGGUGAGGGUGGUGCACCAUUCACUCUAAUGGACCAGCCUCCAUUGGCUUCUAUUAUGAAAGCAGAAAUGUGAACCAAAGUAACAAGGCAGAAGAAGGAGGAACAAGGCAAACUGUUGCACAGAUACAGUAUUUGAAUGGAGCUUGAACACAGCUUUCGUUUAUUCAUAUAAAGUGGAGGAUAAGCUACAGCCUCCAUUUCAUCGAAACCCAGCACCCUUCCAACAAUCGCCCACUGCCGUGGCACCUCCAUGCCGUCCUCCGUCACAAGCAUCACCAUUCUUCUCCAUGUACAUCUUAUCUGUCAGGUAUAAUAUCCUGCUGACAUAGCGUCCUUUGCUAUUAUACUCACCAUAAUAUAGGGACGAUGAAUAUCGCCCCAUAAGUGCCUCUUAAGUUAAUGUAAAACUACAUCUCGCAACAUCGUGCAUUCAACAAGCUGUCAUUUCCCUCGUAAAUUCUGGAGAGCGUUUUUGCUUCCUGAAACGAUUGGCUCGCAGAUCCGCCUGAGAAAUAAUCACAACCCAUGGCCUACCCUGAAAGCUGCAGCUGUAAAUCAAUCUCAAGGGUUUGUGACCGCUUGCAUUCGCCCCCUCCUCCCCGCAUCUGUCACUCUAGUUUACAGGGAUACACAGCACUAUUUAAAGACCAGGCAUCUGUGUAACAACCAAGCAGGUGCCAGCAUGUAUAUGCACUAAUUUCAUCGCCGUCAGAAACCAUGGUGGCAAAAAUCAAGCUAAGAGCUGGGUUUGGGAAUGUAAGAAGAACUCUGCUGUUUCAGACCAAGAGGUAGUGGCCAGCCAGAGGCUUCUUGGAAGUUUAUUAGUGCUGUGCUGAAAAUUUCUCCUGCAUUAAAAAAACAAAACAAUUCUCCAUCAGCUAAUGAGAAAAGAAAUUGCAUUUGAAAAUUAGCAAUUGGAAGAUAAAAUUAUCAUGGGUGCGUGUGUGCGGAGGGUUUAUGUUGUCCUUACCUUCUUGGUUGAGAGAUGUCUAUGACUGCCCUGGCUUUCACCAUCUCACCAGUGGUUUGCACUCUGCAGUCCUUCCAGGUGCCCAGGGUUCAAUGAAAGCCCAGAGGAAUUCAUCCCAAGGUAACUCUUCCCAUGGGUCUUUUUUCAGAUCAGGAAGUGCAGGCAGCUGGGGAGCCUGCAGUGGGCCGGAGCAAUGCUUAGUGAAAAGAGAAAUGCACACCCCAGCCUUUGCCAUCUCACAUUAGGUGAGCUCAAAAGCUCCCAAAGUUCUAAGGAAAUUCUCAAGGUUCCCCUGAGAAUGAGGCAGAAAAAUGAAAGCACCUCCCCACCCGCCCGCUUUUUUGCUGGGGAAGAAUUUUUUUGAGACAUUGGAAGGGAGACUCUGAGCACUAAAGUUUACAAGCAGGGCACAAAGGCAGCAAACCACUUCUGCUUGUUCCCAACAGUUGCAUUUCUGUGUGUACUGCCUCUAAACAUGUACUGCCUUUAAACGUGGAGAAGUCAUGCCGAGAUAUAUCCAGGUUCAUGGUUUUUAGGGAGCAACAAUUGCUCAGUGGGCAGCAUCAUCCUUUGCCCACAGAAGCUUAUCAUCAUCAUCAUUACUUUUAAUUUGUAUAGCGUCUUUCUAUCUUACAAUACCCAAGGAGGUUUACAAGAUGAAGAAGCAAAGAAUGUACACCUUAUAACAAUCUAAUGCAAUACAAAAAUGUGAUAAUAAAACAUAACUUUAAAAUAAGCAAUCUACAUCAAAUAAAGUAACAUUCAACAAUCCUUAGAAUAGUAUAGAAUAAUAUUAAAUAUCAGCAUAUAAAAAUUAAACAGAAAUCCACUCUUAACAAUUACAGUGGGACCUCGGGUUAAGAACUUAAUUAGUUCCAGAGGUCCGUUUUUAACCUGAAACUGUUCUUAACCUGAGGUACCACUUUAGCUAAAGGGGCCUCCUGCUGCUGCUGCUGCCGCGCCGCAAGAGCACAAUUUCUGUUCUCAUUCUGAAGCAAAGUUCUUAACCUGAGGUACUAUUUCUGGGUUAGUGGAGUCUGUAACUUGAAACGUCUGUAACCUGAGGUACCACUGUACAAUAAAUAACUUCUAAACUACAAUAAAUAAAACAAUGGCAAGCCACAGUGCAUAAAAUAAUACAAUACAAAUUGAGAAGCAGAGACUGGAGGGUGUAGCAAGGCAGGUAGAAGAAGGCCUUGCCUGAUGAAGUCUCUCCCCUCACAGUUCUUCCUCCAGGCACAGCUCCCUUAUGAGGACUCCCAGGGAUGGAGGGUGGGGCAAGGCAGGCGGAAGAAGGUCUUGCCUGAUGAAGUCUCUCCCCUCACCAGGUAACAGAGGUUACAAGUUCAAUCCCUGUCCUCACCAGGUGAUAGGCUCAGGUGAUAGGAAAGACCUAGAAUAGCAGGCAAUAUUGAUCCAGAUGGUCUGGUCUGUUAUGAAAAAUCUUCCUUCACUUUUGCUCUGAUAAACUCCCAUUGCGGAAAUAUCCCAUGCUAUUGCUUCCAGUAGAUUCUUGCUAAAUUUCUUGGAAGACAAGACUUUCAAUACCCAUCGUCCUCCUCCCCCUUCAAUGUCUAGCAUCCUUCAUUUAGCCUGAGGGGUUUCUGAUGGAAAGGUCUGCCUCCUACAUGCACAUGGAUGUCAUAUGAUUUCUCAUUAGAUUAAGGACUUAACCCACUGGGACAUAGAUUUUCCCAUGCUAAUUUAUAUGUAGAUAAGUUUCAAAUUUAGAAAUAAAUACCAUACUUUCAAUAGAAAUGCAAUGCAUCUCACCAUAGUGAGAAGGUGAUGAUCAGGUGACCUGCUCAUUCUGCUGUCCAGCUGCUAACUGUUGAUGGGCUAAUAAUAAUAAUAAUAAUCAUACCAUGCCCAUCUGGCUGGGUUUCUCCAGACAUUCUGGGUGGCUUCCAGCAGAAUAUAAAAACAUAAUAAAACAUCAAACGUUAAAAACUUCCCUAUACAGGACUGCCUUCAGAUGUCUUCUAAAAAUGUAGUUCUUUAUCUCCUUGAUAUCUGAUGUGAGGGCAUUCCACAGAAUCAUAGAAUCAUAGAAUUGGAAGGGAACCAAGGGUCAUCUAGUUCAACCCCCUGUAAUGCAGGAAUCUCACCUGGUCUCUUUUCUCAUGGUUCUUUAUCUUUCAACCAGACUUGGACUGGACAACUCUUCAAAUAGAGAAUGCUGUUUCUUAUUCUUUGAUUACUCUACACUUGAUGACUGGCAGCUGAAUGAACUAAGAGGAUCCAUUGAAAGCAUUGUGUUCAAGGUAACAUGAAUGCGAUGGCUCAUUCAUGUCUGUAGGUCAUCAUGAGAUGGGGCAGCCAAAGUAGCCCUGUUGAGAGUCCCCUUCACAUGAUUAUAAUGAUGUGAAGAUGAGCACGAUCCUGCUUCCCGGUCCUGCCUCCUCUGUCACCUCUUCACUACUCAGUCUACAUGCCUCUCAUAGGUUGCAAAGGAAACAUAUGCACAGUUUAGAACACUGAUCUUCCAGGGUUCUAAAUCACAUGGGAAGUCUUCAUGCUUAAAGCAUUUUUCAAAACAACUUAAGGAUAAGUACUACAGUGCUUUUAGUCUAACAAACAAUCCAGUUUUAAUGAAUUGAGAAUAACAGAAAAUCAAACUCAUUUUCCGUUAAUAAACUAAACAAACUUUAAAACAGCAUCCUUUUAAAUAAUAUUGCAUUUUUUAAAAAAGGAUUCUAAUUCUUAUUAUGUAAGCCUUGCAAAUAGGGCUUAGCACUUAAAGGUGGGUUGAUAAUAGCAUAAUGUAAGAAACAAAUGAAUAAAUGGAGAUGGGAAAUGUAUAUGAGAACAUAAGAAGCUGGAUCAGACCAAUGGGCCAAUGCUGUUCCCACAGUGGCCAACCAGCUGAGUGUGCGAUCACUCUCCCCAGUUGUGAUUCCCACUAGUCGUCAUGCAUACUGCCUCCAACAGGGCAGGUAGAACAUAGCCACUGCAGCUAGUAGCCACUGAUAGCCUUUAUCAUUGGUGAAACUUGCUCAUUCCUCUUUUAAAGCCAUCCAAGUUGGUGGGCAUCCCUGUCCCUUGUGGUAGCAAAUGCCAUAGAUGAAUUUUGCACUUUGUGAAGAUGCCCUGAAUCAGGGGUCGGCAAGGUUUACCUCGCCUUGGCUGGUUCACUCCAGCGGAGAUCCCUCCAUGGGCUGGAUUGUGCAUGCGCCCGCAACUUCUGGCACCUGCGCAGAUGCAAUUUCCGGCACCGCGGAAGCGAGUCCCCGUACCAUGCUAUGCCAGUUUAGCGUAGCGCACAGGGACUCACCGAGCGGGCAGCUCGGUUUGGGGGCAGCCUUGUGGGCCGGUUAAACAAUCCAUGUGGGCUGCUUGUGGCCCAUGGGCCUUAGGUUGCUGACCCCUGCCCUGAAUCUUCCAACAUUUAGCUUUCUUGGAUGGCCCUAGGUUCUCUAGUAUCAUGAUGAGAGAAGGGGUGGUGGUGGUGGAAUACAUUCAGCAAAUAUAGGCAUCCUAACCCCCAUCUGAAGACAGGAGUGCCUGGCGUGCUCUGGUCCAUGGGGUCACGAAGAGUCGGACACGACUAAACGACUAAACAACAACAACAACCCCCAUCUGGCAAGUGAUACCUGCUGAAAUUGCACAUUGUAGAGGUGCUGAUGCUCUGUCCUCUUAUAUAUGUGAUCACCCUAUUUAUUUCUGCCAUGAUAUAAACAGCUGCUGAAGUCAAACCUGUCUGUGAGCCCUUUGGAAGGAAGAAAGGAUUUCCCCUUUCCCUAUCAUCCCUGAAGCCAUUUCUCCGCAGAGAUGCCUUUGGGAGCCUUCAAUAACACCAGCUCCCUUCUGCUUCCAAGUACCCCUGAACGAAUGACCCUGCUAGUGGUGCAGUUUUUCCUCUCCCCCCUCUCUCCCUCCUUUGCCCUCCCCUCUCCCCUAACUUUGAUUUGAUCAGCCAAAUCUGAAAUGAUGUGUGAAAGUAAUGAUAUUUUGUAAUUAAAUCUCUGGUGAUGGUGCCGCUAAUUUGUGGUACAUGCAUUGUUCAUAAGGAAAAAGGCAUCAAUUCAUUUUCUGACUGGCUACUCCUGGGACUCAUAAUUAGACCAAGCUCAUCUUUUGCUGCCUUGCAUAUUAAGGAGCUGCUGAGACGCAAAGAGAAUUUGGGAAGCUUCUUCUUCUUUUUUUCCCUGAAAAGGGGAGGGGGGGAGAAAAAACAAGGUCUAAUAAUGUUAGCUCAGUUAGAACCAUCAAGGGAUUUAAAACACACACAGGACACAGAGAUGGGCUACAAUCCACAGGAAACUUCUCUUGAGCAAACCUCACUGAGAUACACAGGAGUUGCAAAAGAUGCCCUUUUUUACAGCUUGCAGACAUUUCAAUUAAUUCCUCGUGAUGUGUACCUAUGUUGUGUCAAUGAUCCUCAUGUUCUGUGAGUUCCCUUUUUGCCUUGCAAAACCAAAUCUUUCAUUUUCCCUUCCUUGAUUCUUUUUUUUGUUCGAUUCCUCCUUAGUUCUGGGAUGCUCUGCCUGCUGAGAUCUGAUCUAUUCAGUCCUUCUCAGCAUUUUGCAACUUGUUUGUUUCAAUUAGUUUAUUCUUGAUUGUGUCUGCUCAUUUUCUCCUCUUCCAGUCACCACUUCCACUUCCCCCCUAUUCUCAUGUCUUACAAUAUUGCAGGCAUUUUUGCUUAAGAAGGUGUCUCUGGAAGUGUGAACCAGGCAUUUCAUGAAAUUACUGUACAAUUGCAGAAAUGAGGGGUUUAUGGCCUUUAGUUUACUGAGUUUGUAAUCUUUUGUUUUUUAUUACUGAUCAAUUUAUUGAAUCUAUAUACCGCCCUUUAUCCGAGGACCACAGGGUGGUUUAUAAUAUAAAAACACAACAAAACAUAGCUUAAUAACAAACAAAACAAUACAACCCCCACCCCCUAUUUAAAAGGCCAUAGGUUGUUUAAUUAGCCAAUGGCCUGGGAGCAAAGGAAUGUUUUUGCAUGGCACCUAAAGAUUUUAAAGUGGAUAAAGGCUAAAAACUUCCCUUUGAAUGUGAAAAGGUGGAUUGUGGGUAUGUUUACAAGCAUGCAAUAUUCUGCAAGGUGCUUUGACAAAUGCUUCUUUGUUUAGGUCAAAUGUGUUGCCCCCAAUAGAAACAUCCCAUUCAUUUUAGGCUGAUCCACACUAUAUGUUUUGAACCCGAAUAUGAAAAGGACCCAGCUUUAGAUAGCAAAAUGCACCUGCAGUGCUGCAAACUGUGAAAGGUGCAUGCGUGUUUAAGCAGCCUGCUGUAAUGCAUACACAACACAUAUCACUGAUGGCACCAUGCAAAGAUUUUGCCAUCUAAACUCAGAUUGACAUUUCAAGGGUGUGGUGAACUAGAUCAUUAUGCUUGUAACUGCAUUUUGAGGCAUUGCUGAGCGGAAGCCGUACUUUCGUUGCUGAACUCUUGCAUACAACUCUAAAAUAAUAUAACACACAUUUUAAAGCUGUGAAACACUGGGUGAACGAGUGCAGAUUUUUGUUUCUGGAAGGGAUUCAGGGUUUCAGCUGGCAAAAGGACUUGCUCAUGUAUGUUUUCACUUGCUGCCCUUUGCCCACCCUUCCCAAUGUAUGCUUGACAGGUGACCCCGGCUAACCCUGCCUGCCUCUUUGAUAUACCCUGAUUCUCACUACUGGGUGUUAUUUGCAGACGCAAUGUGUCAAGUGAAUAUCACAGACAACACAAAGCAGUACUGAGGAUGCAUCUAUCUUCUUGAGCAGAGGGAGUUGAUUCCAACAAUAAAUUCUGUAGGCAAGUACUCGUCUUAUUUACUAACCAAGGCUUCAUUAUUUAAGUCAAUCAAUAGGAACAGGGCUGCAAUCCUCCCCCACCCACCCUGUUAUGCUCUUGGAAGUUUGGAUGGACUUGAUGCAUUCCUCUGCCAGCUCUGCCAGCCUCAUGUUGGUUGUGCCCACUGGUGCCCAUUGGUGAUGCUCCUGUGAGCAGAGACCAGCAGAAAGCCCCAAACUGGGGUGUUCUGAGGGCAGCUUGGGGAUGAGCCACUGAAACCCAAGCUGUUCUUACAGCCAGCAGCAGCCGGCAUAGGUCCCUAUCCAGAUUCAAUUUCUGUGCCAGGCUUCAGCUGGCAAGAGAUUGGGCCCAAAUCUGCCUCCCCACCACCUUCCUCUGCUGUGAGUGGUAGACUACAGAUGUGGCGGCAGCAGCCUAUUUAGAUUGCUCUGUAGAGUAGCAGAUUUUUUUUUGUUAAAUGUUACAAUGACAAAUAUUAGUAUAAGAAACAACAAAUCAUAUGGACAGCUGGUGCCAUCUAAGAAGAUACAUCCCCUCUGCUUCUAAGGCAGAGAUGGUCCUCCAGUGGUGUAGUGGAGCCAGUGCGGUGUAGUGGUUAAGAGCGGUAGACUCGUAAUCUGGUGAACUGGAUUCGCGUCUCUGCUCCUCCACAUGCAGCUGCUGGGUGACCUUGGGCUAGUCACACACCUGCUUUCACAAGUACACUUUUAAAAAAGUCAAUUGCAGCUUGUUUUUGCAGAGUUUUGGCUACAGGUCUCUCUUCACACUUUCCUGGGACAGAGCUCCUGUGAACAGAGUGGAACUUCCCCCCAAAGAAACAUUGGUUUCUUUCAAUCUAUUAAUUAAUUCAGACUUGUAUUGACUCAAUACUACUUUGAUUGAAUGACAGCCUUGGAAUGGCCAGCUCUGCCAAUGCAGUGGCAAAUAAACUGCUCCUGAUCACUUUAGUGAAUCUUCACCCCAAGAAAUAAAAGCACUUUAGUGCUGAAAUAAGCUCCUGUUGCUUGAGAGGGUAGGUGCAAGCUAACCCUCAGAGAGGAUGGAAGAGAUGUAUCUUAUCUGACAUUGUCAUAUGCAUAUGUGCCCUGUGAGCCAAUGCAUACCGCAUCACAAGAAAGCUGCACGCUGCAAGGUGUUACCCACACAUGUUGAGGCAAUUAAAGAGCAGAACACUGAUGCACUUACAUUGCAGAGUAUUAGAUGCAGCUUUCCAGGAUUUGCUAUGGGUUGGAGUUUUGUGUUGCUUGGCGGUAAGGGAUGCACAAGGCUGUCAAAACUGUCAAUUUCAGCACAUCCUCUUGAAAUUUUGUCAGCGUUUUAGUGCAAAUUUAUCCUAAUAUGCACAUUUUUAAUUCGAUGCAUACAUUUGCUUUUGCAAACCAAUGCCCUUCUGUCCAUGUUAAUGCACACUUAGUAUACAUAUUUUUGUAUCCAGUAUACACAUUUUUGAUAUUUCCUUGGCUGCAGAACCGAAUUGCAAAAUUCAGAAAGGGCGAAUCUUGAAGGAUGGGUGCUUUGCAGUCCACAUAUAAUCUUGGAAAGGCCAAAAAAUUAGGUAGGUUUGCCUUUAAAUGCAAACUGAAUCAAAUUUAUUCACCAUCUAUAUUGGUGGUUGAGGACACUUUAUUUUUUAUAUGCAUUCCCAUAUAUAUCUAUAUCUAUACUAUGGUAUCUGGUUUGCCACUGUGAGAACAGGAUGCUGGACUAGAUGGGCCUUUGAUCUGACCCAGCAGGCCUCUUCCAAUGCUGUUAUGUCACAGACACAUGUAUAUGAGUUAAGGAAAUGUAUGGUGCCUCACACAACCAUUGCUUGCCGCUUGGUCUCAUUCUGUUGCUGAUUGUCCUGCAUGCUUUGCCCCCUUUAACAGCUAGGCACUCCUUGAAGACUUUUCCUAAUGGGCUCAGGAAUGGGAAUCAUUCCUAACGGAGGAAGGUAUCAACAUUUCAAAACAGUUUAAUUAUUCCGAAAAUGCUUAGCUAUUAGCAGAGACAAGAGAGCUUAGGGCUAUUUUUCAGCAUUAAUUUUCCAUUUGAAAUGAAUUCCUUUUGGUUACACUUUUUAAAUGUUUCUUUUAAUUAGACGCAAUUACUUCAGAAGAAUCGCUUUUAUUUCCAUGCCUGAAAUCUCAAUGAUAAAGUUGUUAACUGGCCAGGCUGAAUGCUGUGUAUGCCUCAUUUAGCUGGUACACUAAAGUAUAUUGAACUAGGAAAUUAUACAGUGAAUCAGCUAUUAAUUCAUUUUAUGAUCCUUUCACUCUAACAUCUUGAAUGAGCUCUUCAGGGGGAAAUUUAGUCACAAUACAUAUAAUUGUCCAACUAUAUAUGUGACACUCAUUUACGACCGUAAGGUUACCGGCACUCUGAGCCUAAUCGGAGUGCAACUGUGCAAGCAGAGUUGACUCCUGACUCUGGAAAAUAUUAACAGGAUCAUUAAUGUUCUUUUGACCAGAGAGAACUGGACCACAUAUCAUGUGUUUAGCAAAGGAAAUGAGAAGUCGGAGAAGUUACACACAAUAAUUUGAAGUGGGGCUUAAUUUGAGCCAAGGGUCCACUGGUGUGGUUUUCACUGUCAGUUCUCAGUCCUAGAAACAAAGAUGUAAUACAAAAGGAGAGAGUGCCUCUGAGUUCGUGCAGGGUUCAUUUCCUCAGCUCUGAGUCAGGGUCUUCAUGCAUUGCAGCUCCUUGCCUGCCUCCAUUGGCAAAUGCUAUUGAUGUGCAUUACAGUGGGGAAAUUCACUGAGUGGGUUAACGGAGGGAUCACAGCUCAGUGAGAAAGCCCAUGGUCCCAGAGUCUAUCCCCUGGCCUUUCCAGUUCAAAAGGUCAGGUGGCAGGUGAUGGGCAGAACAGCUGCCAGUCAUAAUCUUUUUCUAUUAUAUCUUUUGGAAAGUGGUUUGCUUGUCUGUCUGCUGUGCAUCUGGACACAUCUUAAGGCACCACAACCAAAUUUUGUUUGAUGGUUCCUGAGAUCAAGGAGUAGGUUUUAGUUAUGAUUUGGAUACAAUUGGGGGCCAUUUUGAAUAAAGAUGGUGGGAUGACUCUUCCAUCCUCUCCCCCAUUCUUUUUAAUGUCUAUAUGAAGCCGCUGGGAGAGAUCAUCAGAGGGUAUGGGCUGGGUGUUCAUUAGUAUGCAGAUGACACCCAGCUCUACUUCUCUUUUAAAUCAGAACCAGUGAAGGUGGUGAAUGUCCUGUGUGAGUGCCUGGAGGCGGAUGGCUGGCUGGCUAACAGAUUGAGGUUGAAUCCUGACAAGACAGAAGUACUGUUUUUUGGGGAAAGGGGGUGGCCGGGUGUGGGGGACUCCCUGGUCCUGAAUGGGGUAAAUGGGCCCCUGAAGGACCAGGUGCGCAGCCUGGGAGUCAUUUUGGACUCACAGCUGUCCAUGGAGGUGCAGGUUAAUUCUGUGUCCAGGGCAGCUGUUUACCAGCUCCAUCUGGUACGCAGGCUGAGACCCUAUCUGCCCACAGACUGCCUCGCCAGAGUGGUGCAUGAUCUGGUUAUCUCCCGCUUGGACUAGUGCAAUACGCUCUGUGUGGGGCUACCUUUGAAAGUGACCCGGAAACUACAACUAAUCCAGAAUGCAGCAGCUAGACUGGUGACUGGGAGUGGCCGCCAGGACCAUAUAACACUGGUCCUGAGAGAUCUGCAUUGGCUCCCAGUAAGUUUCCGAGCACAAUUCAAAGUGUUGGUGCUGACCUUUAAAGCCCUAAAUGGCCUCAGUCCAGUAUACCUGAAGGAGUGUCUCCACCCCCAUCGUUCAGCCCGGACACUGAGAUCCAGUGUUGAGGGCCUUCUGGCUGUUCCCUCAUUGCAAGAAGUGAGGUUACAGGGAACCAGACAGAGGGCUUUGUCGGUAAUGGCACCCGCCCUGUGGAACGCCCUCCCAUCAGAUGUCAAGGAAAUAAGCAGCUAUCCUAUUUUUAAAAGACAUCUGGAGGCAGCCCUGUUUAGGGAAGUUUUUAAUAUUUAAUGCUGCAUUGUUUUUAACACUUGAUUGGGAGCUGCCCAGAGUGGCUGGGGAAACUCAGCCAGAUGGGCGGGGUAGAAAUAAUAAAUUAUUAUUAAUAAUAAUUAAUUACAAACUGAACAGUUUUUACCACUGGUUGCAUAUAACUCUUUAUGCAAGCUGCUAGCAGAUGAUAUUGGGCUAGGUGGACAAUCUGAUGUGGUAUAAGGCAGAUUCCUAUAUCCUGCAACACUCUCAGAGUAAUGGGGAGGAUCUUGAAGAGCUCUGUGAGACUAGUUCAGAAACUAGGAAGUAGGAAACCUCUGGUUCCAGAGUCACUUCAGAUAUGAAUUCAGUAUGCAUUUAUGUAAGCUGCUCGGCUCACCCUUAGAGUGGACGCAUAUCUUAGACUCAAGUAAAGGUGAGCAGCCUGCAGCCCUGCACUUCCUUCAGUAUGCUCUCCCUGAAGCGGGGAGAGAGAAAGAGAAAGAAUGAAAGAAAAUCACUGGAUGGAGGAUGAAUGGAAGGGAAAGAAGGGGAGCUUAUGUGCUUGCUUGUACAGUCAAACCUUGGCUCCAUUUUCUGCCCCAAACCCAGAAGUAACUGCUCUGGUUUUUUAAUAUUUUCAGAAGCCGAACAUGCUACACGGCUUCUGUUUUGAGUUUCCCUAUUGUAUUGAGGCUUCCAAUUUCAGUUUUUGGUUGUCGAAUGUUUGGGAAGUCAAACGGUCUUCCAGAACGGAUUACGUUCAACAACCGAGGUUUGACUAUAUGAAUAGGUGUAAGUGAGAGACAUAAUUAAUGGAUGGUGGAGGAGUGAGUGAGAGAGAGAGAGAGAUGGAGACAGAGACAGAGAGAAGUGUUCCAUCUGAUUUUUGCAUUGGCCCUUCCCACUUUGUUUUGGCUCUGCCCAACAACACAGGUACAUGGCCCCUGAUGACUUUCUUCCAGGUGAGCAUGGCUGUUUACUCUGCAGAUGUUGCUCAUCCCUGCCUUAGAAGAUUAUUCACCAUGCAUUGGCUUGCAGGUCAUCUUUAAGGACUCUGCUCCAAACUGGCGAGCAGAGUGAGCUAGCAGGGCCUCUUCUUCGCCAAUGGCCUUGAACAUCUGAAUGGCACCAGGUUCAGUUAGAGAAGCCUUUCUCAACCUGUAGGUCCCCAGAUGUUGUUGAACUACAACUCCCAUCAUCCCUAGCUAGCCAGGCCAGAGCUCAGGGAUGAUUGGAGUUGUAGUCCACCAACAUCUGGGGACCCACAGGUUGAGAAUCGCUGUGUUAGAGCAUCAGACUUUGAUCAGAGAGACCUGGGAUCAAAAACCACUGCAUAAAGCUCACAGAGUGAUUUUAAGCCAGUCACUCAUCAUCACUCAGCCCUACAUACCCCCAAGAUUUCUGUGAAGAUAAAGGAGCAGCAGUGGGCAUGCAUUCCACCCUUACUUCUUGAAGGAAGGGAAAGAUAAAAGUGUAUUAAAUAAUAUUACCAUUUGUGAAUUGCUUACCCAAACUUUCCAAAAAUCAGCUGGGGCAGAAAGCAACUUUGUGUGCGCUUCAAGUUGUUUUCGUGACCCUAAUUAAGAUUUUCAGUCUGCUUGUGUUUAUCUGCAUAUGGGGCAGGGGGGAAACUUUGCAUCUAUAUUUUCCCUGUUAAGUUUGUGAUGAAAGAUGAUAGAUGGCAACUCUCCAGGGUUUUAUUUAAUUUGUUUUUUUAAAAAAACCUGAUAUACUUUUUAAUAACAUGAAACCUAGUAAAAGUUCAGAAAAAGCCAAGUUUUUAAAAUGAGAAGACUAUAAACAGAAGGGUGAAGACAGCUGUAACAUUAUUUGUAGAGGUCUGGAAAUGAGCUCAUACUGAAUCCAAAUGCACAUUUCCUUUCUUGAAGUGACUUUCGAAAAAGCACCAGCAGCAGCCUUUCAGAAUGUUUAGUCUGAAUGGAGAAAACCUAACUGAAUGGCAUUGAUUGGACACUGCCUGUGACAUCACCAAUCCAUCAGCCCUGUUAAUCCUUGGGGCAGUUUUUUUUUAAAAUAAAGAGUAUUUGGGACUGUUGUUUAGAUAAGAUAGAGGUUAAAUAAAUGUACACGGGAUAAAUGUACACAAGUUGCUUAAAAAAAGAAGUGAAUAGACUGUUUUGAAUAUGCAGGGAAAUGGAAGAAUGAAUCAACAUUCGACAUGUUGGUGGUGUGCAAGAAUUUGGGUUCCAAGUCAGGCUCGCUCACACUGUGGCUGAAGCAUUGCUACAAUGCUAUGCGCAUGUUUAUCGUAAGACACCAGCAUUACACCAUCAGAAGAAGUCAAAGUAACCAUUGCAAAUGGUUUGAACGCAGGGUGUAUGUACAGGAUAGGUGGAUGCAAGGGAGAGAACACAGCUUUCUCUUAACACUCCACUAUGCUUUACUAUAGUCCAGGGAAUCUGCAAACUUUCUAUCCCUAAGGCUCACUUGAGAGGGGUGGAAAUUACAGUGGCUCACUGCAAGGCCAGACCUAGUCACCAAAUGGUGUCAGGUUCAAGGUGGAGUCUGUCAUAAUCUGCUGGCAAUUACUGACAUCAUUUCCCACCGCAAUUUAAUCUGUCUUUGAAAAUUGUGAGACACCAGUAUAUUAAAAUGUCUUCCUGGAAAGAUACCAGGAUAAUAAAUAGACAUUCAUCAGGCUGCUGUGCUGGAUCACUUUCCAAUACAUAGCCACCUUUUAUGGCGGAUUCUACACUGCAUGCUUACUGCAGAAUAGCCAUGCUUUGCCCCAUCACCUUUUAUGGGAUAUCUGCAUGACAUUGUAAGCAAAUCAUGAUCCUCCACUGAUAUUUUCCCUCUUCAGCCUCUUCUCCCAACCCACCUUGCCAUAAGCAGAAAAUCUGGUGUUUUUUUUUAAUGCAAUGGAAUAGCUUCACAAUUACCCCAGGUGUAGAUGACCCAUCACACAGCAAUUCAAUAGCUUUUCCGUCCAGUUAUGGCCUGUACAUAUUGCUUUAGUCAUUCCCUUCUUUAUGGUCCAUUUCUCCUUUAUAGGAAUCAAUUCUAUCACUUUAACCCUUUCCUUCCUGAACAGCAUUGUGUUUAUAACGCAGCAUGGAAGCAAUCAUGAUCAGGAGUGCGGCAAGGGAGUUGGGGGAUAUUUAUUUAUUUAUCUAUUUUUAAAAUAAUAUUUAUUGAAGUUUUCCAAUCAAACCAAGUUAUAUAUUCCAAAUUAUACAAAUUAUCCAAUAAUCAAACAAAUCCCAAUGUUAUGCCUAAUUAUAAAUUAUUAUUAUUUUUUAGCUGACUUCCCAUGCUUCGAGAUCGGAG